GUAGGUAUAGCUCAGUGGUAGAGCGUGUGCUUAGCAUGCACAAGGUCCUGGGUUCCAUCUCAAUACUUCCA
rnacentral:tRNA from 1 species